AGGCAGCUGGUCCAGGUGACACACCUGUGGAGACCUUCUUCUUCCUGCCGUCCUCAGUCCUGUGUUGAUGCAAGUGUCCAGGUACAAGGAUGACCUGCAGAGCUACAUCAUCCUGUACUGAGAGAGACGAUGGUCAUUCUACAGCAGGGUGGUGCAGCACAUCCAUGUGUGCAGUGGGAGUGACAGAGGGCUCAGAGUGGGGGGCCAAAUCAGAAACGUGCUCUGAGCUCCUACUUGUUUGCAGUGCUGAUGGACAGAUUCACAGAUGUUCAUAUGGAGCAGGUGGAGGCACGCUUUAGAAUGAAAGUG
ensembl:lncRNA